rnacentral:rRNA from 1 species
CCUACGGGAGGCAGCAGUGGGGAAUAUUGCACAAUGGGGGAAACCCUGAUGCAGCGACGCCGCGUGAGUGAAGAAGUAAUUCGUUAUGUAAAGCUCUAUCAGCAGGGAAGAAAAUGACGGUACCUGAGUAAGAAGCCCCGGCUAACUACGUGCCAGCAGCCGCGGUAAUACGUAGGGGGCAAGCGUUAUCCGGAUUUACUGGGUGGAAAGGGAGCGUCGACGGCAGGGCAAGUCUGGAGUGAAAGGCGGGGGCUCAACCCCCGGACUGCGCUGGAAACUGUACGGCUGGAGUGCAGGAGAGGUAAGUGGAAUUCCUAGUGUAGCGGUGAAAUGCGUAGAUAUUAGGAGGAACACCAGUGGCGAAGGCGGCUUACUGGACUGUAACUGACGUUGAGGCUCGAAAGCGUGGGGAGCAAACAGGAUUAGAUACCCUUGUAGUC